rnacentral:lncRNA from 1 species
GAUCGUAAACCCAAAUUUUAUUUUACAAAAAAUGGGGUCGGUUGAAGAGGGCAGGACCCUACGAUGGGUGCAUCCCGUUCCCUCCCAGGUUGCCGGCGAGUGGAACUCGAGCGUGGAGUAUGACAAUAAUGAAGUAGACCGGCGCGGCUACGCAGCAUCCGCCCAAAUUUGAUGGGGCCAUCGUACACUGACCGCCAACCCCCAUCUGGACUUCGGCGGCGCGUGUAAUAAAGCCACAUCCAAAGUUUUGGCUUCGGAGGUAGCCGUACUACACUGACCAUGAACCCCAACCGGGACUUCGGCAGCGCGUGUAGGAAAGCCCACCAAAGUUAUGGCUUCUGCCACUCGCUUACAGUCACCCUGCCUCUCCUAAAAACGCGACUGAGGAGCCCACCGCCCCCCGGAUGGCCCGCGACGCCUUAGGGUGUCCGCACCUGUUCUAACCUCCCAAAAACACCACCUUUAUUGCCCCCACCUGGGUCACAAGCUCGCGCAACCGAGCUCGGCGACUGUAAUCCAAAGUAAACGGAUAUAUAAAGUGGCCCAUCUCAGACUUA